CCGAGUUAUACAACUCAUCAACCCUGUGAACAUACCUAUAACGUUGCCUCGGCGGGAACAGACGGCCCCGUAACACGGGCCGCCCCCGCCAGAGGACCCCCUAACUCGGUUUCUAUAAUGUUUCUUCUGAGUAAACAAGCAAAUAAAUUA
rnacentral:misc_RNA from 1 species